rnacentral:rRNA from 1 species
CGCCGAUCCCCUAGCAAUUUGCACUUUAGCUGGCGCCCCCUCGCGGGUCUACGCGGGCGAAGAGUCAAUUGCCAAGGGCGUGAGGAACAGAACGGCCGAGGCGAGAUCCUAAUUUAAGAACAUGAAAAAAAAGCCUAAAUGGAAACCGGGCAUCGAAGGAACGCCCAUCCGUUGCGCUCGGUCCUCCCUCUCGGGGGUUGGAACGGGGACAGUAACGGGGGCGGCCCGGGGGCGCAUCGCCGGCCCGUCUCGAUCGCUGCUCCUCUCGUAUCAACUCUGCCUACGCAACCGGGCUCUGGCCGUGCUGUUUCCCUUUCUCCUUUUCGUCGUGGCGCUUCUCGGAGCUGCUGCGGCGGGGUGGGUUGGGGGGGGCCGCGGUCUACGAAGCUCGGCUCUGCCAGGUGGGGGCGGGGGAGAAACCAGUCGACGAGGCGGAGCAAGAGCGUACACGUUGGGACCCGAAAGAUGGUGAACUAUGCCCGGGCAGGACGAAGCCAGAGGAAACUCUGGUGGAGGUCCGCAGCGAUUCUGACGUGCAAAUCGAUCGUCGGACCUGGGUAUAGGGGCGAAAGACUAAUCGAACCGUCUAGUAGCUGGUUCCCUCCGAAGUUUCCCUCAGGAUAGCUGGCGCUCGGGAACCAGUCUCAUCCGGUAAAGCGAAUGAUUAGAGGCAUUGGGGCCGAAACGGCCUCAACCUAUUCUCAAACUUUCAAUGGGUGAGAUGUCCGGCU